CAGUCGCCGCGGGAAUACGUAGGCGGCAAGCGUUGUCCGGAAUUAUUGGGCGUAAAGGGCUCGCAGGCGGUUUCUUAAGUCUGAUGUGAAAGCCCCCGGCUCAACCGGGGAGGGUCAUUGGAAACUGGGAAACUUGAGUGCAGAAGAGGAGAGUGGAAUUCCACGUGUAGCGGUGAAAUGCGUAGAGAUGUGGAGGAACACCAGUGGCGAAGGCGACUCUCUGGUCUGUAACUGACGCUGAGGAGCGAAAGCGUGGGGAGCGAACAGGAUUAGAUACCCCUGUAGUCCCUGUCUCUUAUAU
rnacentral:rRNA from 1 species